rnacentral:tRNA from 1 species
GCCGGCCUAGCUCAAYUGGUAGAGCAACUGACUUGUAAUCAGUAGGUUGGGGGUUCAAGUCCUCUGGCCGGCACCA